rnacentral:rRNA from 1 species
UAGCAUGAAGUCAGACAAGUGAACCCGCUGAAUUUAAGCAUAUCAUAAAACCGGAAGGAAAAGCCCCCCCC